rnacentral:sRNA from 1 species
GCCAGGUGUGGUGGCGUACACCUGUAAUCCCAGCGGCUCAGGAGACCGAGAAAGGAGGAUCACAAGUUCAAAGCCAGCCUCUACAACAGCAAGGUGCUAAGAAACUCAGUGAGAUCCUGUCUUUA